rnacentral:rRNA from 1 species
AGUGAACGCUGGCGGUAGGCCUAACACAUGCAAGUCGAGCGGCAGCACAGUAAGAGCUUGCUCUUACGGGUGGCGAGUGGCGGACGGGUGAGGAAUACAUCGGAAUCUACUUUUUCGUGGGGGAUAACGUAGGGAAACUUACGCUAAUACCGCAUACGACCUACGGGUGAAAGCAGGGGAUCUUCGGACCUUGCGCGAUUGAAUGAGCCGAUGUCGGAUUAGCUAGUUGGCGGGGUAAAGGCCCACCAAGGCGACGAUCCGUAGCUGGUCUGAGAGGAUGAUCAGCCACACUGGAACUGAGACACGGUCCAGACUCCUACGGGAGGCAGCAGUGUGGAAUAUUGGACAAUGGGCGCAAGCCUGAUCCAGCCAUACCGCGUGGGUGAAGAAGGCCUUCGGGUUGUAAAGCCCUUUUGUUGGGAAAGAAAAGCAGCAGGUUAAUACCCCGCUGUUCUGACGGUACCCAAAGAAUAAGCACCGGCUAACUUCGUG